rnacentral:rRNA from 1 species
GACGAACGCUGGCGGCGUGCUUAACACAUGCAAGUCGAACGGACAGACAGAGAGCUUGCUCUCUUGAAGUUAGUGGCGAACGGGUGAGUAACGCGUAAUCAACCUGCCCUUCAGAGGGGGAUAAUAACGGGAAACCGUUGCUAAUACCGCGUACGAUUCAUGAACGGCAUCGUUCAUGAAUGAAAGGUGGCCUCUAUGUAUAAGCUAUCGCUGAAGGAGGGGCUUGCGUCUGAUUAGCUAGUUGGAGGGGUAACGGCCCACCAAGGCAAUGAUCAGUAGCCGAUCUGAGAGGAUGAACGGCCACAUUGGGACUGAGACACGGCCCAAACUCCUACGGGAGGUAGCAGUGGGGAAUCUUCCGCAAUGGACGAAAGUCUGACGGAGCAACGCCGCGUGAGUGAUGAAGGUCUUCGGAUUGUAAAGCUCUGUUAAUCGGGACGAAAGAGUUCUGCGUGAAUAAUGCAGAAAAGUGACGGUACCGGAAUAGAAAGCCACGGCUAACUACGUGCCAGCCGCCGCCGUAA